rnacentral:tRNA from 1 species
AGGCUUGUAGCUCAGGAGGUUAGAGCGCACCCCUGAUAAGGGUGAGGUCGGUGGUUCAAGUCCACUCAGGCCUACCA